rnacentral:rRNA from 1 species
GGAAUUUUGCGCAAUGGGCGGAAGCCUGACGCAGCAACGCCGCGUGGAGGAAGAAGGCCCUCGGGUCGUAAACUCCUGUCCAUGGGGAAGAUGGUGACGGUACCCGGAGAAGAAGCCCCGGCUAACUCCGUGCCAGCAGCCGCGGUAAUACGGAGGGGGCUAGCGUUGUUCGGAAUUACUGGGCGUAAAGCGCGCGUAGGCGGGCUGUUAAGUCGGGGGUGAAAUCCCGGGGCUCAACCCCGGAACUGCCUUCGAUACUGGCAGCCUGGAGUCCGAGAGAGGUGAGUGGAAUUCCGAGUGUAGAGGUGAAAUUCGUAGAUAUUCGGAGGAACACCAGUGGCGAAGGCGGCUCACUGGCUCGGUACUGACGCUGAGGUGCGAAAGCGUGGGGAGCAAAC